UGGCGAACGGGUGAGUAACACGUGAAUAACCUACCUUGAUGAGGGGGACAACCAUUCGAAAGAGUGGCUAAUACCCCAUAAGCUCCUACGGGAGGAAAGCUGGCUUUGCUGGCGCUUCAGGAGGGGUUCACGUACUAUUAGCUAGUUGGUGGGGUAAUGGCCUACCAAGGCUAUGAUGGUUAGCCGGCCUGAGAGGGUGUCCGGCCACACUGGGACUGAGACACUGCCCAGACUCCUACGGGAGGCUGCAGUCGAGAAUCUUCCACUAAUGCGCGAAAGCGUGAUGGAGCAAUUCCGUGUGUAGGAUGAAGGCCUUAGGGUUGUAAACUACUGUUGGAAGGGCGUAAUCCCCGGGAGUUAAUACCUCUCCGGGUUGAACUCCCUUCGGAGGAAGUAGCGGCUAAAUUCGUGCCAGCAGCCGCGGUAAUACGAAUGCUGCAAGCGUAGUUCGGAAUCACUGGGCAUAAAGGGCACGUAGGCGGCUAGUUAAGUCAGCUGUGAAAUCCCUCGGCUUAACCGAGGAACUGCAGCUGAUACUGACAAGCUUGAGUUCGGGAGGGGAGAGCGGAAUUCCUGGUGGAGCGGUGAUAUGCAUAGAGAUCAGGAGGAACGCCGGUGGCGAAAGCGGCUCUCUGGACCGAAACUGACGCUGAGGUGCGAAAGCUAGGGGAGCGAACAGGAUUAGAUACCCGGGUAGUCCUAGCCGUAAACGAUGGGUACUAA
rnacentral:rRNA from 1 species